GAUGAACGCUGGCGGCGUGCUUAACACAUGCAAGUCGAACGGAAAGGCCAUGAUUUUGUGGGGUGCUCGAGUGGCGAACGGGUGAGUAAAACGUGAGUAAACUGUCCCUGACUUUGGGAUAACUCCAGGAAACUGGGGCUAAUACCGGAUAGGAGAUACUGAAGCAUGGUGGGGGAUGGAAAGAGUCGGCGGUUGGGGAUGGUCUCGAGGCUUAUCAGCUUGUUGGGGGGGUAGUGGCCUACCAAGGCUUUGAGGGGUAGCCGGCCUGGGAGGGGUACCGGGCACCAUGGUCCUGCGAUACGGCCCAGACGCCUACGGGAGGCAGCAGUGGGGAAUAUGGCACAAUGGGCGGGAGCCAGAUGCAGAAGCGCCGCGUUCGUAAUGACGUCCUACGGGUUGUAAACCGCUUUCGCCGGUGACAAAGCGUGAGUGACGGUAAUGGGUAAAGAAGCACCGGCUAACUACGUG
rnacentral:rRNA from 1 species